rnacentral:rRNA from 1 species
AGAGUUUGAUCAUGGCUCAGGAUGAACGCUGGCGGUGUGCCUAAAACAUGCAAGUCGAGCGCCCCUUUAAGAGUAGAGAACUUUGGUUAUCUAUUUUUAUGGGGAGCGGCGGACGGCUGAGUAACGCGUAGGAACGUACCCCAAAGUGAGGGAUAACCACUCGAAAGAGUGACUAAUACCGCAUAUGGUCUUCGGAUUAAAGCAGCAAUGCGCUAUGGGAACGGCCUGCGUCGGAUUAGGUUGUUGGUGAGGUAAUGGCUCACCAAGCCGACGAUCCGUAGCUGGUCUGAGAGGAUGAUCAGCCAGACUGGAACUGAGACACGGUCCAGACUCCUACGGGAGGCAGCAGUUAGGAAUCUUCCACAAUGGGCGAAAGCCUGAUGGAGCAACACCGCGUGCUGGAUGAAUGCCUUCGGGUUGUAAACAGCUUUUGUAUACGAAGAAUAUGACGGUAAUAUACGAAUAAGGGUCGGCUAACUACGUGCCAGCAGCCGCGGUCAUACGUAGGACCCAAGCGUUAUCCGGAGUGACUGGGCGUAAAGAGUUGCGUAGGCGGCUUGUUAAGUGGAUAGUGAAAGCUGGUGGCUCAACCAUUCAGUCUAUUAUCCAAACUGGCAAGCUUGAGAAUGGUAGAGGUAGUUGGAAUUUCUUGUGUAGGAGUGAAAUCCGUAGAUAUAAGAAGGAACACCAAUGGCGUAGGCAGACUACUGGACCAUUUCUGACGCUGAGGCACGAAAGCGUGGGGAGCGAACCGGAUUAGAUACCCGGGUAGUCCACGCCGUAAACGAUGUCUACUAGUCGUUGGGGAACUUGAUUCCUUAGUGACGCAGCUAACGCAAUAAGUAGACCGCCUGGGGAGUACGGCCGCAAGGUUAAAACUCAAAUGAAUUGACGGGGGCCCGCACAAGCGGUGGAGCAUGUGGUUUAAUUCGAUGCAACGCGAAGAACCUUACCUGGUCUUGACAUAUCUAGAAUCCUGCAGAGAUGCGGGAGUGCCUUCGGGAAUU